rnacentral:tRNA from 2 species
GGGGAUGUAGUUAAAAAUAACAUUUAAUUUGCAAUUAAAAGGAGCUAAUUAUAGCCUUCCUCA